GAGUCAAGUUAAUCAGCCAAUAAGCAUUUAAAAAGCAUUUAUUGGGGGGCAUCUGGGUAGCUCAGUGGAUAGAGAGCCAGGCCUAAAGAUGGGAGGUCCUAGGUUCAAAUCUGACCUCAGACACUUCCCAGCUAUGUGAUCCUGGGCAAGUCCUUUAGCCCACAUUGCCAGCCCUUACAACUCUUUUGCCUUGGAACCAAUACACAGUAUCAAUUAUAAAAUGGAAGGUAAGGGUUUAAACAAACAAAUAAAAAGUAUUUAUUAUGUGGCAGAUCUGCUGCUAAGUGCUAGGGAAAGGAAGGAAGGAAGGAGAGAAAAAAGAAGGAAGGAAGAAAGAGAAAGGAAGGAAGGAAGGAGAGAAGAAGGAAGGAAGAAAGAGAAAGGAAGGAAGGAGAGAAGAAAGAAGGAAGGAAGAAAGAGAAAGGAAGGAAGGAAGGAGAGAAGAAAGAAGGAAGGAAGAAAGGGAGAAAGGAAGGAAGAAAGAGAAAGGAAGGAAGGAAGGAGAGAAGAAAGAAGGAAGGAAGAAAGGGAGAAAGGAAGGAAGAGAGAAAGAAGGGAAGGAAGAGAAAGAAAGGAAAGAAGGAAGAUAUAGAAACAAAAAAAAAAGAAAGAAAAAGACCCAGUCUCUGCUCUCUAGAGGGAUUUUAAUCUAGUUGGGGGAGGGGAGACAACAUGCAAAUAAUCAUACAAAAACAAGAUAUACUGUAAACAGGAAAGGUUGGGAAUGGUCUCAGAGGAAAAGCAAUAAGGGUAGGGAGACAUGGGAGAGACUUCUUGUAGAAGGUGGGUCUUUGCCUGAGACUUGAAGGAAGCUAGGGGAGGUGGAGAUUAGGAAGGAAAGCACUGCAGGCAGGGGGAUUGGUCAGAGAAAAUGCUUUGACUUUGUUGAGGCUAGUGGUUGUGCCAGGAGGAGGCAGAUGAGCCUAAUUCACUAUCAGCUCCUUGUCACAGAGCCCCAAGUACCCAGGGCAAAGAUCACAAAUUGUCCAAAAGAGUGAAAUAAGUCCAGACAAGUUCACACAGUCUGUUAAAGAGACUGAUAUGGGGAAGAGGCUUACUCUGGGACUCCUGGGCACACCCUUGAAAUGUGCAUAUUUGGAACCCUUGACAAGAUGCAGCCUUACAGCCCUUUCUCCAUAAAACACUCCAAAAUGUUAGCUUAGUAGAAAAACUUCUGACUCCAAGACUAGGGGUGAGUCCUCUGAACUACUAUGUGACUGUGAACAGGCUCCUCAACCGCUCUGGAC
rnacentral:lncRNA from 1 species